rnacentral:rRNA from 1 species
AGGACGAACGCUGGCGGCGUGCUUAACGACAUGCAAGUCGAGCGGAAAGGCCCUUCGGGGUACUCGAGCGGCGAACGGGUGAGUAACACGUGAGCAACCUGCCCUUAGCUCUGGGAUAGCUCCGGGAAACCGGAAUUAAUACCGGAUACGACCUAGGCCGACAUCGGCCAUGGUGGAAAGUUUUUCGGCUAGGGAUGGACUCGCGGCCUAUCAGCUAGUUGGUGGGUAAAGGCCUACCAAGGCGACGACGGGUAGCCGGCCUGAGAGGGCGACCGGCCACACUGGGACUGAGACACGGCCCAGACUCCUACGGGAGGCAGCAGUGGGGAAUCUUGCGCAAUGGGCGAAAGCCUGACGCAGCGACGCCGUGUGAGGGAUGAAGGUCUUCGGGUUGUAAACCUCUUUCGAGCAGGGACGAUUGUGACGGUACUGCGAGAAGAAGCUCCGGCCAACUACGCGCCAGCAGCCGC